GGGCGUAAAGCGCACGCAGGCGGUCUGUCAAGUCGGAUGUGAAAUCCCCGGGCUCAACCUGGGAACUGCAUUCGAAACUGGCAGGCUAGAGUCUUGUAGAGGGGGGUAGAAUUCCAGGUGUAGCGGUGAAAUGCGUAGAGAUCUGGAGGAAUACCGGUGGCGAAGGCGGCCCCCUGGACAAAGACUGACGCUCAGGUGCGAAAGCGUGGGGAGCAAACAGGAUUAGAUACCCUGGUAGUCCACGCCGUAAACGAUGUCGAUUUGGAGGUUGUGCCCUUGAGGCGUGGCUUCCGGAGCUAACGCGUUAAAUCGACCGCCUGGGGAGUACGGCCGCAAGGUUAAAACUCAAAUGAAUUGACGGGGGCCCGCACAAGCGGUGGAGCAUGUGGUUUAAUUCGAUGCAACGCGAAGAACCUUACCUGGUCUUGACAUCCACAGAACUUUCCAGAGAUGGAUUGGUGCCUUCGGGAACUGUGAGACAGGUGCUGCAUGGCUGUCGUCAGCUCGUGUUGUGAAAUGUUGGGUUAAGUCCCGCAACGAGCGCAACCCUUAUCCUUUGUUGCCAGCGGUUCGGCCGGGAACUCAAAGGAGACUGCCAGUGAUAAACUGGAGGAAGGUGGGGAUGACGUCAAGUCAUCAUGGCCCUUACGACCAGGGCUACACACGUGCUACAAUGGCAUAUACAAAGAGAAGCGACCUCGCGAGAGCAAGCGGACCUCAUAAAGUAUGUCGUAGUCCGGAUUGGAGUCUGCAACUCGACUCCAUGAAGUCGGAAUCGCUAGUAAUCGUAGAUCAGAAUGCUACGGUGAAUACGUUCCCGGGCCUUGUACACACCGCCCGUCACACCAUGGGAGUGGGUUGCAAAAGAAGUAGGUAGCUUAACCUUCGGGAGGGCGCUUACCACUUUGUGAUUCAUGACUGGGGUGAAGUCGUAACAAGGUAACCGUAGGGGAACCUGCGGUUGGAUCACCUCCUU
rnacentral:rRNA from 1 species